rnacentral:sRNA from 1 species
GUUCAUGGCCAAAGAACAGAUUCAUGUGGGCUGUCUUUCAGAUUUCCUUAGAAUGAAGAUUUAGUUAACAAAGAACACACACGUCAGGGACAAGUUUGGUUUCUAAGAGUAAUUUGAUUUUAUUUCCUCAUACGACCUAAGAGAGGAAAUGAGCUCAAGGGGUGCUGUCCAGCACUCCAUUAGAGGUCAGCCAUGUGCAGAUUGGUUUCCUUAAAUAAUUCUCUCUAAACACCCUCCCCCAUCCACACGAUCCUUCCAGAAGUAGAAUUGCCGUGGUCACCAGUGAAGCAGCUGACCUGCUGGGUGCAGUUAUGGGAGAAAAAAUGGGAGACCACUAAGCAGUUUCUGAUCAAAUAAAGAUUUUUUAAAAGCCAGAACUUCCCAUUAUUUUUGCUUAGCUCUUUGGUAAGCUUUAAUUCCUCAUUUUUGUCUCUUCUUGAAAAUUAUCCUCAAAACCACUUCUGUAGAUGAGAAUGAAACGUUCGCCCUCUUUACAGGUCAAGAAACGGAGGCACAGUAAAGUUACGCUCACGUUUAAAGUUUCUCCACUGGUGACAACCUGAAUCAGAAUCCAAAUGUCCCAGCCCUUAGGAGUGUUUAGCCCAUUGUGUUUACUCACCCAGGAAAUAUUUUGUUUGGUUUUGUUUGUGUUUUGUUCUCUCUCUCUUUUUUUUUAAGAGACAGGGUCUCACUCUGUCACCCAGGCUGUAGUGCAGUGGUGUGAUCAUAGCUCACUGCAGCCUCAAACUCUGGGGCUCAAGAGAUCCUUCCACCUCAGCCUCCUGCGUACCUGGGACUGCAGGCAUAGACCACUGUGCCCAGAUAAUUUUUGUUAUUUUUUAUAGAGACGGGCUCUCACUAUUUUGCCCAGGCUGGUCUGGAACUCCUGGGCUCAAGUGGUCCUCCCGCUUUGGCCUCCUAAAGUGCAGAGAUUACAGGCACGAGCCACCAUGCCCAGCCUCACUCAGAAAAUAUUGAUUGAGUACCUACUAUGUGCCAGACAUUGGGCCUCACUGCAAAAGAGCCCUGUAGGCAGAAGAAACAGUUUGCUCAAAGGCCCUUGGGUGGAAAGGAGAAGUAAGGAGUGGGGUGAAGAGGAUGGCAUAAGGUUAGGCUGGGAUGGAACAGAAACCCAACACACACGGUCUUAAGGCCACGUGAAGGAUUUUGAACUCUCCUCUGAGUUUAAAAGGAACCCAGUACAUAGUUCUGAGCAGUGGAGUGACAAUAAUCAGAUUUGCAUCUUCCCCUUUCUGUGCAUACACCCAGCGUCUCUCUAGGGAUUGGGGACAGCCUAAGGUGGGAUAGAUGGUAAAAUGCCAGGCACCACCAGCCAUGACCGUCAAUUUGACUUAUGGGGAGAAAGUGAGCAUGCUAAGAACACAGACUCUAGAUGCAACAUCUGGAUUCAAUCCCAGCUAUGUGAGCUAGGGCACACUUCUGCCUCUCUGGAUCUCAGUUUCUGUGUCUGUAAACUGAGUGGUUGUGAUUCUACCGCCUAGGGUCAUGUGGGGAUUAAAUACGCCUAAGGUGCUCAGUCAAGUGCCUGGUACCAAGCAGAUGCUCUAAUGCACACUGGUCAUUAUCAAUGUUGAUCCCUGUCCGAUUUAUUCAUCAAUUCAUCCUGAUAAAGAAGGGGCCUUUGGGGCCAAGAGGCUGUUCUUAUUAAUUAAACGUCAUCCAUAAUAGCAUGUUGUGUCUCCUCCCAGCUGGCUGAAACCGGACAUGGGAAAGAAGGCCAAACACAAGACUCAAAUUAAAAAGAAAACUUUGAAUCCCGAAUUCAAUGAGGAGUUUUUCUAUGACAUCAAACACAGUGACCUGGCAAAGAAGUCACUGGACAUUUCAGUCUGGGACUAUGACAUCGGCAAGUCCAAUGAUUACAUCGGAGGCUGCCAGCUGGGGAUCUCUGCCAAGGGAGAGCGCUUAAAACACUGGUACGAGUGUCUGAAAAAUAAAGACAAGAAGAUAGAGCGCUGGCACCAGCUACAGAAUGAGAACCACGUGUCAAGUGAUUAGGCUAGUGCCCAGGUCCCCAACUCCAUGUCCCGGGUCCCCCCCAGCCUGCCCUAGCUGCCCACCGCACCCUGAUCUCUCUUCUCUAUGCCUACCUCCCCCCAUACCCUGCUGAUCUCCCUGAGCCUGCCUUUGAGCCCCCGUCACGUUGGGCACUGCUGCCAAAGACUCCCUCCUCCCUGAUGCUGGGAUGUGGGCUCUGAAUACCGCCCCUCUCUGGUCCCUGGGAUGGAGCAAUGGGGAUGGGGUUGGGGAGAUGUUUACAAAGAGGUUGAUCAUUUAAUAACCUCUCAGUUUGGGUAAAUUACAAAGGUUCUUCAUCAUUUAGGACUGUUUUUAGACCCUCCUAGCCUUGAACACACACAUGCACACACACACACACACACACACACACCCUUUCAUUCCCUGUGUUGUGUCUCUGUAUAUCCCCAGUUGUCAGCAGACCCGGACAAUGCUGUGAGAGAAGCACUGGGGCAGAAAUGGAGCCUCUAGGCUCCCACUGCCCCCUGAGAUG